UGGUGCUUUGCACAUGUGCACGUUUGGGUCGCAAAUCCACACACCUGUGCAUAUCUGACUUUGAGUGCUUUGCCUCAUGUGAGGGGUUUGACUUAGUGUCAAACCGGCACUCGAGUAUUUUCACACUCUGAAUGGAAAGGAAUGUAUAUUGUGCAUAAUGCGCAAACAAAACAACUUUCAACAACGGAUCUCUUGGCUCUCGCAUCGAUGAAGAACGCAGCGAAAUGCGAUAAGUAAUGUGAAUUGCAGAAUUCAGUGAAUCAUCGAAUCUUUGAACGCACCUUGCACCCUUUGGUAUUCCGAAGGGUACACCCGUUUGAGUAUCAUUGUAACCUCACCACAUCAACUUAUUGUCGAUGUUGUGGACUUGGAUGCCGCCGUGUUGUGACGACUCAUCUGAAAUGUCUGAGUACAUCCUGAUUUGUGGUGUGUUUGGUGUGAUAAAUCUUCACCAAGUUGACCUCAGGUCACACCCACUCAACAUGGCUCUGUGCUUCCAACGGUCUCCCAUGUGAGACAACUCCUGACAAUUUGAUCUCAAAUCGGGUGGGACUACCCGCUGAACUUAAGCAUAUCAAUAAGCGGAGGAAAAGAAACUAACAAGGAUUCCCCUAGUAACGGCGAGUGAAGAGGGAAAAGCUCAAAUUUUGAAUCUGGUGCCUUUGGUACCCGAAUUGUAAUCUAGAGAAGUGUUUUCUGUGUCGGACUGUGCACAAGUCCCCUGGAACGGGGUGUCAUAGAGGGUGAGAAUCCCGUAUGUGGCAUGGUCCCCGACACUCUGUGAUACACUCUCAACGAGUCGAGUUGUUUGGGAAUGCAGCUCAAAAUGGGUGGUGAAUUCCAUCUAAAGCUAAAUAUUGGCGAGAGACCGAUAGCGAACAAGUACCGUGAGGGAAAGAUGAAAAGCACUUUGGAAAGAGAGUGAAACAGUACGUGAAAUUGUUGAAAGGGAAGCGUUUGAAGUCAGUCGUGUCGGUUGGGAGUCAGCCUAACUUUUGUUUGGCGUAUUUUCCAUUCGACAGGUCAGCAUCAGUUUUGGCCGAGGGAAAAAGGCAUGGGGAAUGUGGCUGUCUCUGGACAGUGUUAUAGCCCGAUGUUGUAUGCCUCGACUGGGACUGAGGAACGCAGCGCGCCUUUUGGUCGGGGUUCGCGCCCUCGAUACGCGCUUAGGAUGCUGGCAUAAUGGCUUUAAGCGACCCGUCUUGAAACACGGACCAAGGAGUCUAACAUGUGCGCGAGUGUUUGGGUGUAAAACCCAAGCGCGAAAUGAAAGUGAAAGGUUGGGAUCCUUUACUGGUGCACCGACGCCCGGAGCAGACCUUCUGUGACGCAUCCGCGGUAGAGCGCAUAUGUUGGGACCCGAAAGAUGGUGAACUAUGCCUGAAUAGGGUGAAGCCAGAGGAAACUCUGGUGGAGGCUCGUA
rnacentral:rRNA from 1 species